rnacentral:lncRNA from 1 species
GUUCAAGCCUAUCAAUGAUCUGAGAUUAAUUUCUGAUUAACAGCUACAACCAAUCCUUAAAAGCACAAUCAGGCUACAGAUGUUCAUAGAAAUAGCCAAGAAAUAAAAAAAUGAAUUGAGAAUUCCAGGAAGCUACAGUUACUUAACACAGCAAAAUCAAGCAACAAUUCAAAUCAAUCCAAACAUCAUUACCACCAGAAUACAAUGACUUGGAGAAGAAACUAUCCUAAUUCCAAACUAAACCUAAAUACGAACAAGGCAUAUUGUAAAUACAUUGGAAUAGCCACAGUUUACACAGGUUUUAUUGCUCCUGUCAUGGUUUGAACCAUUCAAACCUAAAAGACUAAUCGACAAAAAUUAAUUAAUCGAUUACACAAGCCAUAACAUAUAACAAUUAACAACAAACAAUCAGAGAUAAAUAGACAAACGGGUGAUUUCCAUGGCAUUGACAAAAACGGAGGUUAUAAAGAAACUAACUAAUCCACAAAACUAGAAUAAAAGAUUCAUGAUUUACAACAUAUAAUCACGAUAUUAGAACAGCAGAUUUGGACCAAAUAAAAGGGUCUAAUGAAGAUGGACGAACAAUCGACAAAAGUCGUAAAAUAUUAAUAAAACUAAACAAAUAACAGAUAUUAAUAACAUAAAAAUAGAAACAACAACAACAACUACCCAGUAUAGUCCCACAAAGCGGGGUCUGGGGAGGGUAAUAUGUAGACGAGCCGUACGCCUACCCCAAAGGGACAGAGAGGCUAUUUACAAUCGACCAUCGGCUCAUGAAGGAAGGAAAAACAAAACAAACAAAAGAACAUUAGUAAGUCCAGUAGAAAUAGCGUAAAUAAUUAUCUAAGAAUAAAAAUAGAACAAAAGGAAAAAAAGGAAGAAUACCUCAAAGAAUCAGAAACCAGACGGACUUAACCAACUCGAAUUUGAACUUUUUGAGGGCAAACGGACCUUAAUCGAGUCUUCUCGAUUGAGAACACUGGACUAAGGUCAGUUAGAAACCCCAAAUCCUUCUUAAUUUUGGGAGAAGACAUAUUUUAGUGUUUAGGGUUCUACGGCUCGAUUUGGGAUUCGAGUGGUUCCAAUGUGAUUCGAAGGGAACCAGUGGUGGUUCAGGGGAAAGGGAGGCUUAAGGCUGCCAUGGUGUAGUUGGGGGUGGAUUGGGAUAAGUUUAUGUUUUGCUCGAAUCUUCAACGCAGAUUUGAAAUGAUGGGGCGUGAUUCAAAGUAAACGGUCCACGGAUUUGGGUUGGGGGUGGUCAGAUGGCUUAGGCGUGUUAAUUUGGUGACCGGCGGCAUUGUUGCCGCCGGGUUUCCGGUGAAAGGAUAUGGGGGCAGCUAGGGUCUUAUGGGGGUCAUCUCUGAUAGAGACGAAAUAAAAGGUGUUUGGAUUUGAAGAGAUCAACAGUUUGGAUCUCUUCA